UAAGGAAUAUUGCUCAGUGGGAGAAAUCCUGAAGCAGCAACGCCGCGUGGAGGAUGAAGGGUCUAUGACUUGUAAACUCCUGUAAAGAAGGAAAAAAUUCCCAUUUGAUGGGAGAUGAUGGUACUUCUGGAGUAAGCCCCGGCUAACUACGUGCCAGCAGCCGCGGUAAUACGUAGGGGGCAAGCGUUGUCCGGAUUUACUGGGUGUAAAGGGUGCUCAGGCGGAUUUGUAAGUCAGAGGUGAAAUCUUACAGCUUAACUGUGAAACUGCCUUUGAUACUGCAAGCCUAGAGUAUGGAAGAGAGUGAUGGAAUAUCUGGUGUAGCAGUGAAAUGCGUAGAUAUCAGAUAGAACACCAAUGGCGAAGGCAGUCACUUGGUCCAUUACUGACGCUAAAGCACGAAAGCGUGGGUAGCAAACA
rnacentral:rRNA from 1 species